AAGGAUCAUUACUGAGUCUGGGUCCUCUGGGCCCCUUCUCCAACCCUUUGUCUAUCUUACCACGUUGCUUUGGCGGGCCCGUCCCUAACCGGACCGCCGGGGGUGGUCCCACCCCUGGUCCGCGCCCGUCAGUAGCCCCCCUUCCAAAUUCCUUGAACAGUGUCGUCUCAGUCUUAUAGCAAUGAAAUUUAAAACUUUCAACAACGGAUCUCUUGGUUCUGGCAUCGAUGAAGAACGCAGCGAAAUGCGAUAAGUAAUGCGAAUUGCAGAAUUCCGUGAGUCAUCGAAUCUUUGAACGCAAAUUGCGCCCUUUGGUAUUCCGAAGGGCAUGCCUGUUCGAGCGUCAUUAUCACCCCUCAAGCCCGGCUUGCUGUUGGGUCCGGCCCCGGGGCUUUCACUCCCGGGGGACCCGAAAGAUAAUGGCAGAGCCCGUGGGGACCCUGGAUGCAACGAGCUUCUCCAGCACGCGUCUGGGCGGUCUUCCGGCUCGGUUUUAACCGAUGAAUCUUCUCUAAGGUUGACCUCGGAUCAGGUAGGGAUACCCGCUGAACUUAA
rnacentral:rRNA from 1 species